rnacentral:rRNA from 2 species
UCUUCGGAGAGUUUGAUCCUGGCUCAGGAUGAACGCUGGCGGCGUGCCUAAUACAUGCAAGUCGAGCGAACUGAUUAGAAGCUUGCUUCUAUGACGUUAGCGGC